rnacentral:rRNA from 1 species
UACGUAGGUGGCAAGCGUUGUCCGGAAUUAUUGGGCGUAAAGCGCACGUAGGCGGCUUUGCAAGUCGGAUGUGAAAUCCCUCGGCUUAACCAAGGAAGUGCAUCCGAAACUGCAGAGCUUGAGUACUUAAGAGGAUCGCGGAAUUCCCGGUGUAGAGGUGAAAUUCGUAGAUAUCGGGAGGAACACCAGUGGCGAAGGCGGCGAUCUGGGAAGAUACUGACGCUGAGGUGCGAAAGCCAGGGGAGCAAACGGG